AUUGAACGCUGGCGGCAGGCUUAACACAUGCAAGUCGAGCGGUAACAGAGAGAAGCUUGCUUCUCUGCUGACGAGCGGCGGACGGGUGCGUAAUGCCUAGGAAUCUGCCUAGUAGUGGGGGAUAACUUGCCGAAAGGUAAGCUAAUACCGCAUACGUCCUACGGGAGAAAGGAGGGGACCUUCGGGCCUUUCGCUAUUAGAUGAGCCUAGGUCGGAUUAGUUAGUUGGUGAGGUAAUGGCUCACCAAGACCGCGAUCCGUAACUGGUCUGAGAGGAUGAUCAGUAACACUGGAACUGAGACACGGUCCAGACUCCUACGGGAGGCAGCAGUGGGGAAUAUUGGAAAAUGGGGGGAACACUGAUCCAGCCAUGCCGCGUGUGUGAAGAAGGUCUUAGGAUUGUAAAGCACUUUAAGUUGGGAGGAAGAGCAGUUAACUAAUAUUUGACUGUUUUGACGUUACCGACAGAAUAAGCACCGGCUAACUUCGUGCCAGCCGCCGCCGUAA
rnacentral:rRNA from 1 species